AUGCUUUGCAUAUUCGUGCUCUUGGGUGUACUUGCCCGUGUGGUUGGUUAACAUCAAUUUUGGUGGUCAUAAAAUGACUGGAGGAAUGUAGCUUCGAUCUUGUAUUGAAGUGUUAUAGCCUUCGGUAGAUGUGAUUAUCGAGAUUGAGGAUUGCAACGGAUACCCUUCGGGGCUACCUGUCUGGUCUCUGAUCGUUGCUCUGGUGCCGAAAGCUUGCUUACGGUUAUCAAAGUCGAUGGUCAAUAGGUUAGAACGGGUUAAA
rnacentral:rRNA from 1 species